rnacentral:rRNA from 1 species
GUAAGGAAUAUUGGACAAUGGGCGCAAGCCUGAUCCAGCCAUCCCGCGUGCAGGAUGACUGCCCUAUGGGUUGUAAACUGCUUUUAUUAGGGAAGAAACCCCUGGAUUUAUCCGGGGCUGCCGGUACCUAAUGAAUAAGCACCGGCUAACUCCGUGCCAGCAGCCGCGGUAAUACGGAGGGUGCAAGCGUUAUCCGGAAUCACUGGGUUUAAAGGGUGCGUAGGCGGCGUCAUAAGUCAGGGGUGAAAGCCCACAGCUCAACUGUGGAAUUGCCUUUGAUACUGUGGUGCUUGAAUCAGGUUGAGGUAGGCGGAAUGUGGCAUGUAGCGGUGAAAUGCUUAGAUAUGCCAUAGAACACCGAUUGCGAAGGCAGCUUACUGGACCUGUAUUGACGCUGAGGCACGAAAGCGUGGGGAUCAAACAG